rnacentral:lncRNA from 1 species
UUAUUUUGGCAGCAAACUGGUCAUAAGGAACAAAUUAAUUUACACAUAAUUUGGACAGAGCAAUUGCCAAAACUUUUAGCGCUCUGUGAGCAAGGUGCUUCUUAAUUUGUUGCAGCAGCUCUCCAUAAACUUCCAUUAGGACAACAUAUAACAUUUGAAUAGAAAGGCAUGCGAAUGAUGGCACUAUAUAAGAGAACUGAUCAGUGGGCAAAGUAUGUGACGAACAGCGCCGCAAACAUGAGCAAGUACGAGAUCGCCUGAUCAAUGGCCUUAGCAUCCACCACCCGUGUCGCCGUCGCCGGUUUGUCCUGCGCCAUGGACAGCUGCAUGAGCCCGGAGAAGAAGAAGGCCGUGAACAGCAGCACGUACACCUUCAGGGCCACCAUCUUCCCUAUACGCUUGUUGGAGCGGAAAGAAUGAUUAAUUUGCAGGGUGCUAUGCUAGCUUGGAACGAUCGAC